rnacentral:rRNA from 1 species
AUGCAAGUACAAGUUUAUCUUGAAAAAGAGAAACCGCGAAUAGCUCAUUAAAUCAGUUACUAUCUACGCGCCAAGUCUCUUAUAAUUGGAUACCUGCGGUAACCCUGCAGCUAAUACAUGCAGAUUGAAUCAGUUGAUCUUUGAAAUCCUGGUGAAGUUUAGCAAGAAUACGCCGGGCGACCUCGUUGAAGGCGCAUACGGGAUGAAUCCAAUAGAAUCUAGUUAACUCAAGGAUCCGAGACCCCUAGGGGGUGCGGACGUGGCGCAUGAGUUUCUGACCUAUCAGCUACGAUGGUAGUGUAACGGACUACCGUGGCUAUGACGGGUAACGGGGAAUCAGGGUUCGAUUCCGGAGAGAGUGCCUGAGACACGGCAAUCACAUCCAAGGAAGGCAGCAGGCACGCAAAUUACCCAAUCCCGGUACGGGGAGGUAGUGACGAGAAAUAACAGCUAAAAGCCCGAGAGGUUUAUAGUUGGAAUGAAUAGAAUGCGACUAAUAGCUUCUAGAGAUGUGCGAGAGGAGGGCAAGUCUGGUGCCAGCAGCCGCGGUAAGACCAGCCUCCUCAAGCAUAUGCACAAAUUGCUGCGUUUAAAAAGCUCAUAGUUGGAUCUGUCGGGGCGGUGCGGCAACAUAUAGUGUUCAGUUACGACAGUUCACUAUCGUACUACCCCUUGAGCGCUCCUUGGUUAUAGCGUGAGCUCUUAAUUGAGCGAGCCUAUGAUCAUCGAGAGAUACUCUGAGUAAAUUAGAGUGUUCAAAACGCCCUUUGGGAAAUGAAUAAUAUAGCAUGGAAUAGAGGAGAAUGAUCGGCUGUUUCCUUAUAAGCCGGUGGCUGGAAAUGCUGUGAUGGUUGAAAGGAGCAGGCGGGGGCAUAUGUAUUGCUUGGGGAGAGGUGAAAUUCUUAGAUCCUUGCAAGACAAACUACAGCGAAAGCAUUUGCCAAGAAUGUUUCCAUUAAUCAAGAACGAAAGUUAGAGUAAUGAAAAGGAUUAGAUACCCUUGUAAUUCUAACCAUAAACUAUGCCUACUUGCAUUCUGCUGAUGUCCUACCGGGCAUGGCAGGGUGCUACCCGUGAAAAACAAAGUUGUUUGGCUACGGGGGAAGUAUGGUUGCAAAAUCGAAACUUAAAGGAAUUGACGGAAGGGCACCACCAGGAGUGGAGCCUGCGGCUUAAUUUGACUCAACACAGAAAACCUUGCCAGGUCCAGACAUAUUGAGGAUUGACAGAUAGUAUAGCUCUCUUGAUUAUAUGGGCGGUGGUGCAUGGCCGUUCUUAGUUAGUGGAUUGAUCCGUCUGCUCAAUUGCGAUAACGAACGAGAUCUUUACCAAAUCCCUAACUAAUAGUAGGCACUUUGUGUCUAAAUAAACACUUCUUAGAGGAACAACGCCAGACUAAAUAUGGCGAGUAGGAGAGGCUAUAACAGGUCUGUGAUGCCCUUAGAUGUUCUGGACGGCACGCGCGCUACAUUGAAUUGUUACACACGCACGUGAUCCUUGACUUCCUAGAGGUCGGGGGAAUCGUGUUUGAACAAGUUCCAGAGAAGGGGAUCGGUUAUUGUAAUGAUAGCUGUGAACCCGGAAUUCCUAGUAAAUUGAACUCGCCAAGUUCAAUUGAUUAUGUCCCUGCCCUUUGUACACACCGCCCGUCGCUACUACUGAUCGGGAUGAAUAAGCGAGGUUUUUGAAUCUUGGAACCCUUUGCCAGAUCUCCGGUGAAGGCUCUGGGGGAAGGGAGUCCUAGCUUAUUUGUCUA